GUCUAUGGCCAUGCCACCCUGAACGUGCCCAAUCUCAUCUGAUUUUGAAAGCUAAGCAGGGUCGGGCUUGGUUAAUACUUGGAUGGGAGACCACCUAGGAAUACCAGGUGCUGUAGGCA
rnacentral:rRNA from 1 species